rnacentral:rRNA from 1 species
AACGAACGCUGGCGGCAUGCCUAACACAUGCAAGUCGAACGAGGCCCUUCGGGGUUUAGUGGCGCACGGGUGCGUAACGCGUGGGAAUCUGCCCUUUGGUUCGGAAUAACAGCUGGAAACGGCUGCUAAUACCGGAUGAUGACGAAAGUCCAAAGAUUUAUCGCCAGAGGAUGAGCCCGCGUUGGAUUAGGUAGUUGGUGGGGUAAAGGCCUACCAAGCCGACGAUCCAUAGCUGGUCUGAGAGGAUGAUCAGCCACACUGGGACUGAGACACGGCCCAGACUCCUACGGGAGGCAGCAGUGGGGAAUAUUGGACAAUGGGCGAAAGCCUGAUCCAGCAAUGCCGCGUGAGUGAUGAAGGCCCUAGGGUUGUAAAGCUCUUUUACCCGGGAAGAUAAUGACUGUACCGGGAGAAUAAGCCCCGGCUAACUCCG